rnacentral:rRNA from 1 species
GUACGUAGGGUGCAAGCGUUGUCCGGAAUUAUUGGGCGUAAAGAGCUUGUAGGCGGUUUGUCGCGUCUGCUGUGAAAUUUCGGGGCUCAACCCCGAACUUGCAGUGGGUACGGGCAGACUAGAGUGUGGUAGGGGAGAAUGGAAUUCCCGGUGUAGCGGUGAAAUGCGCAGAUAUCGGGAGGAACACCGGUGGCGAAGGCGGUUCUCUGGGCCUU